AGAUAACCAUGGUUGAUAAAUGGUCAGUAGAUGACACGUGCCACUGGCUUGAAACUAUAAACCUCAUUGAUGCAAAAGAAAGUUUCAGAGAUUCUGCAUGAAAUGACAAUGAGGUUUAAACCGACUUGGCGAAGAACAUGGAAACAUCUCUGAAUGAAAUGGCCCCAAACAUCAUCAGGAGUGUAAAAGAAGGAAGUCAAAAAAAAAACAAAAAAAUUACGCCAAUUUCAUUGGACUAGCAGAGGAAACCACAGAAGGUCUCGUUAGGAAUGCUGCACUCAUUUUAUUGCCAGCACUAUUUAAAGAAAACGCCAGCUUCCUCUACUGUGUAGAUAGUGAACCCAAAGGUGCUACACCAACCAUAGUGUUUAACGGCUCUCCUGAUCCCCUCAAGGCUGAAAGUGUCAGCAUUAUAAUGGACAAUGUGAACAUCAUAAGAGAGGCAGACAUUGACAUGACACAGGCUGUGGAAUGCCUAUUUGCAGUCUAUUUUCUCUUCAAUGUGCAGUACCCGGUUGACAUUAAGCACACAAUGACUUUUAUUUAAAAAUAUAUGCUUAACCUUAGACAACAGCACGGCAAAAGAACACCAAUACCUGUACUGAAAAUGUAUAGUCAACUUGUGUAAAUUGUAGAGCUAUUUAAUAGUUGUUUUAACUGUUCAUGUAUUGAUUUUUAUCUGCACUGUUAAAUAUAAAAAAGAUUUGUUUUU